CAAGCCGGAGGUUCCCACUAUGCAGCCCGGAGUCUGUGCAGCCAGAUGACGCAUGAGUUUUUCUGGAGGUUCCACUGAGAUAGGGUUGGGAAUGCCUGUAACCAUGGAUCCCAGCCUAUAACAAGGUGUGGCAGCCACAGAGGCCCUUGUGUCUCACUGCUUACAGCUUAUAGAGUCAAUGCCUACAAGGUUCUCUUUCGGGGUGAAGUCUGGAGGGCUCAUCCAGAGGCCCAUACAAGGAACCCUCUUCACUUCUCAAUGACCUUGACAGCACCGUACUGCAAUCCUGUCACCACAUGGAAAAUCUGAAAACCAACUUUUAAAAU